AAAACCAUUGAUCCGACAAGUUUGGAUCCGGAAAGGUGAUAUCUUUCCUUGCUUCUCGUCUUAGCUAUUUCUGAUUUCUUGUGUAGUGCUUUGAUAGGUGCUUAUUGCAUAUUUUUAUUCAUUGCAUUACAUGGUUACAUGAUGUUUGGUGCUUUGAAUUUUGUUUGAUUAAAAAUCAUUUUGAGGAAAGGUAUUUGGGGAUUCAAAUUUUUUUAAGAAAGGAGAUGAUUGAGAAUCAUUAUUUUGAGAAGAGAAAUUUCUUUAAUGUCGCGUAAA
rnacentral:lncRNA from 1 species